rnacentral:rRNA from 1 species
AGAGUUUGAUCCUGGCUCAGAGCGAACGCUGGCGGCGUGCUUAACACAUGCAAGUCGAACGCGCAGCAUUCUGUAGCAAUACAGGGUGUGGGCGCGUGGCGAACGGGUGCGUAACACGUGGAUAACCUUCCUUGAGGUGGGGAAUAACCCAGUGAAAAUUGGGCUAAUACCGCAUAACAUCGCGAUGGCACAUGCUGAUGCGAUCAAAGGCGCAAGUCGCCACAAGAGGGAUCCGCGGCCGAUUAGCUAGUUGGCGAGGUAAUGGCUCACCAAGGCAAUGAUCGGUAGCCGGACUGAGAGGUUGGCCGGCCACACUGGAACUGAGACACGGUCCAGACUCCUACGGGAGGCAGCAGUGGGGAAUCUUGCACAAUGGACGAAAGUCUGAUGCAGCAACGCCGCGUGGGGGAUGAAGCUUCUCGGAGUGUAAACCCCUUUCGACCCGGAAGAAUGCCCGCAAGGGUAUGACGGUACGGGUAUAAGAAGCCCCGGCUAACUACGUGCCAGCAGCCGCGGUAAUACGUAGGGGGCCAGCGUUGCUCGGAAUUACUGGGCGUAAAGGGUCCGUAGGCGGUGUAGCAAGUCGAUAGUGAAAUCUCUGCGCUUAACGCAGAGGCUGCUAACGAAACUGCUGUGCUAGAGUGUGAGAGAGGCGAGUGGAAUUACGGGUGUAGCGGUGAAAUGCGUAGAUAUCCGUAGGAACAUCCGAGGCGAAGGCGGCUCGCUGGAUCACAACUGACGCUGAGGGACGAAAGCUAGGGGAGCAAACAGGAUUAGAUACCCUGGUAGUCCUAGCCCUAAACCAUCACGACUUGGGGUUUGCCCUGUACGGGGCAAGUCCCGUAGCUAACGCGUUAAGUCCUGCGCCUGGGGAGUACGGUCGCAAGGCUGAACUCAAAGGAAUUGACGGGGGCCCGCACAAGCGGUGGAACAUGUGGUUCAAUUCGACGCACGCGAAGAACCUUACCUGGGCUUGACCGCACAGGACAGCUCCAGAAGUGGGG